rnacentral:rRNA from 1 species
UACGAAGGGGGCUAGCGUUGCUCGGAAUCACUGGGCGUAAAGCGCACGUAGGCGGAUCUUUAAGUCAGAGGUGAAAUCCCAAGGCUCAACCUUGGAACUGCCUUUGAUACUGGGGAUCUCGAGUCCGGAAGAGGUUGGUGGAACUGCGAGUGUAGAGGUGAAAUUCGUAGAUAUUCGCAAGAACACCAGUGGCGAAGGCGGCCAACUGGUCCGGUACUGACGCUGAGGUGCGAA